rnacentral:rRNA from 1 species
UGGGGAAUAUUGCACAAUGGGGGGAACCCUGAUGCAGCAACGCCGCGUGGGUGAAGAAGUACUUCGGUAUGUAAAGCCCUGUCAGCAGGGAAGAAAAUGACGGUACCUGACCAAGAAGCCCCGGCUAACUACGUGCCAGCAGCCGCGGUAAUACGUAGGGGGCAAGCGUUAUCCGGAUUUACUGGGUGUAAAGGGAGCGUAGACGGUAAUGUAAGUCUGAUGUGAAAGCCCGGGGCUCAACCCCGGGACUGCAUUGGAAACUAUGUAACUAGAGUACCGGAGAGGUAAGCGGAAUUCCUAGUGUAGCGGUGAAAUGCGUAGAUAUUAGGAGGAACACCAGUGGCGAAGGCGACUUUCUGGACCGUAACUGACGUUGAGGCACGAAAGUGUGGGGAGCAAACAGG